CUCAACAGAUGCAAUAACACCGCAAAAACCUAAACCCACCGACCCAUUUUCAACACGAACCAACCUCACCUGCGACCCUAAACCCGAUUCUCACAACCAACAACCCGUAACCAACCCGUUUGUAGCCUCCUUCACGCAUCCCACGUAAGUUCAUGAGAAGAAGACCCUCGAAUCUUCUAGAAAUAAGUCGAGGUGUCCUAUCAACGUAUCAAUUCUGCGAAUCUCGCGUAUGGGAGUACGAUUCCGUACAUGUAUGUCACAAAUUUGUUGGCUCAUGGUGAAAAUCCGUUUUGCCUAAAUCUUAUUGGUCCACCGAUUUGGAAAUCGGUACAAUUUGUUGGGGGGAACCCGAUUGGGAGUUAAAAAAAUUUGAAUUCUCUUUGGAAAAGUAAUCCCUAAAUCACCCUCAAUUGGCUUCUAUAUAAAGAGCUCACUGUUGAUCUAAAAAUGGGGGAUUUUUCAGCUUCUUUCUUUUUGGAUUCGGGGAAAAUCGGGGGAUUUUCUCUUCUUUCCAGGCUGGGGAUUCUGGGGUUCGGAAUUUUGAUAGUCUUUUGAGGGUUCGAAAUUGGGAGGAUUUUUUUUUCUUUUUUUUUGGGAUUGGCCUCUCCUUUUGGGGUUCAAAAUCUCGGAAACAAAGGGAUUCAAAUGUUGAGAGGGUUGAGAAAACUUGGAUUGGGGGAGUUCUUAGAAAAACUAGGUCUAAAGAGGGGGAAAAAAGUGAGCCAUUCUGAGCAAAAUCGAUAAAUCCUUUCAUUUUAGAAAAAAUUUGAAGCUCGUCAGAAUUGUUCGCAGUAGCUGCUAGGCCAUUUUCCGGUGGUGACGAAUCCGGUGAUAGCUCGAGUCCUGUUUUGCUUCUCCCUAAAAGUUUUCAGGCCGAGGGUGUUUUGUUCAUUGUUGGCGUUUAACGUCGUCUUGUUGUCGAUACUUCCCCAUGAGUUCUUUGGCUUCCCAAAUGACAAAGAAUGACGAGGAUACGCUCGACAAAAACUGACAAAUCCCAUGAUUCCUCGAUGACCAUUUCGGCUGUUAGAACUCGUUUGAAUUUGACAAAAGAGGAUGAGGAUGAUUGUAGUGCCCCGCCACUUUCCUUUUAGCUUUAUCUGCCAUGUCUUUUUUUGUGUGGAUUCGAAUCUUUUAUCCUUCCUUGUCUCUUGAGCUUGUUGCCAGUACAUGAUCGGGUUAGGGAGAUGAAUGCAAUAAUGGGGUAUCUUAGUAUGUUUAUUUAGAAGGAAUGGCCUUAUUUUGUUCUCCUCGUGGAAAUGGAGCGUCACUGUUGUAUGUCUCUUUGAAUACCUACUGUCAAUAUACUUGAAUUUAUAGGUCAAUUUUGCUUCUUUUCUGUGUUUCAAUCAGUCUCUUGUCUAGAUCGUGGGUUUACGUUUAGGUAUGAAGUUCUCAAAACAGCUUGCAACAGUUUUUUCCUGUCCCAUACAACAUGAGAGUAUCAUAUAGUGUGGUAUAGAUUGGUUUAUUUGAAGCGCAUGACUGCAUUUCGAUUGUAGUGUUGGAAAUUAAUAGUGUUCUUGAUUUAAGUGAGACUCUCUUUGCUUUUGUUGAUUGGAUUGUCCUGUAUACUGAACAACAUACAAGAAAAGAGGUGAAACGAACUUAUCUUGGUUCAUCUGUAGCAUAAAUUUAAGUAUCUAUUUUUGAGAAUUAUCUUCAGCUCUUCAGUUUUGUAUUCCAGUUGAGUGUUUUGAUAGCCAACUGAUAAAAUUUUCUUAGUUUCUGCGUAUUCCUUGUCAUAAGUAAGCACCGGAACCUAUCGUUUUGCCAAAAGAAAUGGAUUGCGAUUUACUAUUAAUGUACGGUCCUUUAACAAAUGUUAUAGCAUCCCUCUACUGCAACAAACAAAACCAACUUUACGUCCUAUGCUCUCAUCUAAUGGUCAUCACAUGCGAUUAGGAAAAGUGACCUUUUACUAGAAUUCUUUCAUGCAUAUGCAUACUUUCAUGCCAAAGUCCAGCAUAAUAUGACGUGUUCUCUUUGAUCUCUAUGUUAAAAGUUCAAAACCAAUUAAACACAGUUGCAUGUCGUAUAUAUCACUAAUCUAGUAGCUAAGUUUCCUUUUAUGUAUCGAAGUAGUGAUUUUUUUUAACAGCUUCGAACUUUCUGAAUUUUUUUGUUAUAAAAGUAAUUCAUUUUUAUUAACAUAUCUUUUCUUUGCAUGCACCCCCUUGGAGUCCAAAUGGGCUUUUUCUCUCUUUGCAUUUCAUAAAUGGGCCAAUGAGGCCUAUCCUUCCGAGUUAAGCCCGAAUGAAAGCCCAAAGUUAAGCACGUGGCAUAUGGAUACGAGAAGUCGAAAGAGGAAUAAUGGAUUAAAAUCUCAUCUUUGAAGCGGCCAAGGGAUUAGAACGUUUCUUUUCUUUUAUUUGUUUAUUUAUUUAUUCCUUUAUUUCAUUUGGGCCUCGAAGCCAAAGUUGUAAAUUUAAUGCAGGUGGAGCGAGACUCGAGCUAAAGGCUCGAAAGCUAGACUAAGAUAGGUGAAGUGGGUUGAAAACCCAACUAGAUUAGGAUAGGGCCGAUGGUUUGGGCUUGAAAGCCUAAAUCACUACUUCCCCGUUUUUCUCCCCUUUUCCUUUCAUUUACUUAUUUACAUUUUUCUUUGCGAACUUAGUUAAAAUCCCUAACUAAGUCGCCUAAAAAUACUUUUCUUUG